AUGGAUGCCGCUGGACAGCUCGAGGCGUCAACCACGACAUUAGCCUGGCGCUCCGACGACCUGAACAGGCGCGAGCUCGAAGCGCCCCACCUUCCCAUCCUCGAGAAGCAGCCCGACGGCGACGGCACAAUGAACAGGAGAUCGCACGGAGCAGGCACGCGAAGAAGCCGAAGCACGCGCAGAACGACCAACCCGAGAAAACGGGCGAGGAUGGAAAAACGUAGACCGAUCAGGCGAAACAGCAGAAGCAGCACCACGACACGAGCCACCAUGAUGACCAACCGUAAUCCCACGCGAGCCACGAGGCCGGCCGGGACGGCGCAGACCAUUACGACUGGAUGA
rnacentral:rRNA from 1 species